rnacentral:rRNA from 1 species
UUGCUGGGGGAUUAGUGGCGAACGGGUGAGUAACACGUGAGUAACCUGCCCUUGACUCUGGGAUAAGCCUGGGAAACUGGGUCUAAUACCGGAUACGACCAUCUGGCGCAUGUCAUGGUGGUGGAAAGCUUUUGUGGUUUUGGAUGGACUCGCGGCCUAUCAGCUUGUUGGUGGGGUAAUGGCCUACCAAGGCGACGACGGGUAGCCGGCCUGAGAGGGUGACCGGCCACACUGGGACUGAGACACGGCCCAGACUCCUACGGGAGGCAGCAGUGGGGAAUAUUGCACAAUGGGCGCAAGCCUGAUGCAGCGACGCCGCGUGAGGGAUGACGGCCUUCGGGUUGUAAACCUCUUUCAGUAGGGAAGAAGCGAAAGUGACGGUACCUGCAGAAGAAGCGCCGGCUAACUACGUGCCAGCAGCCGCGGUAAUACGUAGGGCGCAAGCGUUAUCCGGAAUUAUUGGGCGUAAAGAGCUCGUAGGCGGUUUGUCGCGUCUGCUGUGAAAGACCGGGGCUCAACUCCGGUUCUGCAGUGGGUACGGGCAGACUAGAGUGCAGUAGGGGAGACUGGAAUUCCUGGUGUAGCGGUGAAAUGCGCAGAUAUCAGGAGGAACACCGAUGGCGAAGGCAGGUCUCUGGGCUGUAACUGACGCUGAGGAGCGAAAGCAUGGGGAGCGAACAGGAUUAGAUACCCUGGUAGUCCAUGCCGUAAACGUUGGGCACUAGGUGUGGGGGACAUUCCACGUUUUCCGCGCCGUAGCUAACGCAUUAAGUGCCCCGCCUGGGGAGUACGGCCGCAAGGCUAAAACUCAAAGGAAUUGACGGGGGGCCCGCACAAGCGGCGGAGC